CUUCUCAAACGACUCAAACCUCGGACGUUCUGAGUGUUCGGGCACUUCGGACUUCACCCCGAAGGCACUUUACGCCACUUUUUCUUGCUGAAGGAGGGCAUUCGCCCUUCCGCUCGCGGCGGGCGGGGUUGCGCUCGUGAAUACUUUUCCCAUGAGUGAAUGUGCAGCCAACAAAUAAUAGAAAUUCGAGAAGGGAAAAGCUGGAAUGCCGUCGUCGGGCAACAAUUUCCUCAACUUAUACUAGCUCUCUGCGGCUGAGGAAAUCUCAACACCAGAGGGUGAAACCCACAGUCGGAUUUUGACCGAGCAACGUCCUUUUCAAUGUGAGGCGCAUGUUCCUGCUACAGAAUGGCCAUAUGGUCACCCUGUUCCAGCGGCUUUGGUGCCAAACAUCAAAUUUGACCAUUAUACGAAACUGUCGACCUGCGGAGUUUGGCCUAAAAGGUUUUACAGAAUCUUCCUUGGGAUGAUUUCUUUCAUGGUGGAAUAAUUGCCACAAGAUGCCCUUGGCCCUGAUAAGUUCAAAACAAAUCAUCCUGACCAUAAGCAGGGAAUUAAAUGCGCCGUGUCUGCUGGCCGUCGCCUUCUUCUGCCCACCUCUCCCUUUUUCAACGUUUUCAA